rnacentral:rRNA from 1 species
AUGCGUUGUUGGGUAGGGGAGCGUUCUGUAAGCCUGUGAAGGUGUACUGUGAGGUAUGCUGGAGGUAUCAGAAGUGCGAAUGCUGACAUAAGUAACGAUAAAGCGGGUGAAAAGCCCGCUCGCCGGAAGACCAAGGGUUCCUGUCCAACGUUAAUCGGGGCAGGGUGAGUCGACCCCUAAGGCGAGGCCGAAAGGCGUAGUCGAUGGGAAACAGGUUAAUAUUCCUGUACUUGGUGUUACUGCGAAGGGGGGACGGAGAAGGCUAUGUUGGCCGGGCGACGGUUGUCCCGGUUUAAGCGUGUAGGCUGGUUUUCCAGGCAAAUCCGGAAAAUCAAGGCUGAGGCGUGAUGACGAGGCACUACGGUGCUGAAGCAACAAAUGCCCUGCUUCCAGGAAAAGCCUCUAAGCAUCAGGUAACAUCAAAUCGUACCCCAAACCGACACAGGUGGUCAGGUAGAGAAUACCAAGGCGCUUGAGAGAACUCGGGUGAAGGAACUAGGCAAAAUGGUGCCGUAACUUCGGGAGAAGGC